rnacentral:pre_miRNA from 10 species
GCCGUCUGAUUUGGAGAUAUAGUUGUACUUAGUGUUCACUGCGGAUGCUUUAGUGUUUCUUUUGACGAAUUAAGGCACGCGGUGAAUGCUACGAACAACAGCUACGACUACAAGACUACGAA